rnacentral:rRNA from 1 species
UACAGGGGAUGCAAGUGUUAUCCGGAAUUAUUGGGCGUAAAGCGUCUGUGGGUGGUUAUUUAAGUCUUUUGUAAAAUAUCUGGGCUUAACCUAGAAUAGGCAAUAGAAACUAAUUAACUUGAGUAUAAUGGAGGUAAAGGGAAUUUACAGUGUAGCGGUAAAAUGCGUUGAAACUGGAAAGAACACCAAGAGCGAAGGCGCUUUACAAUGUUAAUACUGACACUAAGAGACGAAAGCUAGGGGAGCAAACGGGAUUAGAAACCCCAGUAGU